rnacentral:rRNA from 1 species
AACGCGAAGAACCUUACCUACCCUUGACAUGUGGAAUGCCGAAGAGAUUUGGCGGUGCGCUAGAGAACCGGAACACAGGUGCUGUAUGGCUGGCGCGUGGUGAGAUGUGGGGUUAAGCCGCCACGAGCGCAACCCUUGAUUAUUUGCUACAAAAGGGCACUAAUGAUACUGCCGGUGACUGACAGGAGGAAGGUGGGGAUGACGUAGCAUGGCCCUUAUGGGUAGGGCUGCACGAUACUAUGGGGGACAGAGGGGCCAACCCGCGAGGGGGAGCCAACCAGAAACCCGAGUAGCGGAGCAGUGCAACGACUGCAUGAAGGGAAGCUAGUAAGCAUAAGCAUGGCGGUGAAUACGUCCGGGUUGUACCCG